rnacentral:rRNA from 1 species
GGUCCAGACUCCUACGGGAGGCAGCAGUGGGGAAUAUUGCACAAUGGGGGAAACCCUGAUGCAGCGACGCCGCGUGAGCGAUGAAGUAUUUCGGUAUGUAAAGCUCUAUCAGCAGGGAAGAAAAUGACGGUACCUGAAGAAGAAGCCCCGGCUAACUACGUGCCAGCAGCCGCGGUAAUACGUAGGGGGCAAGCGUUAUCCGGAUUUACUGGGUGUAAAGGGGGCGCAGACGGCGAUGCAAGCCAGGGGUGAAAGCCCGGGGCCCAACCCCGGGACUGCCCUUGGAACUGUGCGGCUAGAGUGCGGGAGGGGCAGGCGGAAUUCCUGGUGUAGCGGUGAAAUGCGUAGAUAUCAGGAGGAACACCGGCGGCGAAGGCGGCCUGCUGGACCGCGACUGACGUUGAGGCUCGAAAGCGUGGGGAGCGAACAGGAUUAGAUACCCGAGUAA